AGUCGAACGGACUUUACAUGAAGCCUAGCGAUUGUAAAGUUAGUGGCGGACGGGUGAGUAACACGUGAAUAACCUGCCCUGUACCGGGGGACAACAGUUGGAAACGGCUGCUAAUACCGCAUAAGCGCACGGUUCCGCAUGGAACAGUGUGAAAAACUCCGGUGGUACAGGAUGGAUUCGCGUCUGAUUAGCCAGUUGGUGGGGUAACGGCCUACCAAAGCAACGAUCAGUAGCCGGCCUGAGAGGGUGAACGGCCACAUUGGGACUGAGACACGGCCCAAACUCCUACGGGAGGCAGCAGUGGGGAAUAUUGCACAAUGGGGGAAACCCUGAUGCAGCGACGCCGCGUGAGUGAAGAAGUUAUUCGUAACGUAAAGCUCUAUCAGCAGGGAAGAAAAUGACGGUACCUGACUAAGAAGCCCUGGCUAACUACGUGCCAGCAGCCGCGGUAAUACGUAGGGGGCAAGCGUUAUCCGGAUUUACUGGGUGUAAAGGGAGCGUAGACGGCACAGCAAGUCUGAUGUGAAAGCCCGGGGCCCAACCCCGGAACUGCAUUGGAAACUGCUGGGCUUGAGUGCAGGAGAGGUAAGCGGAAUUCCUAGUGUAGCGGUGAAAUGCGUAGAUAUUAGGAGGAACACCAGUGGCGAAGGCGGCUUACUGG
rnacentral:rRNA from 1 species